UACAGAGGUGGCAAGCGUUGUUCGGAAUUACUGGGCGUAAAGGGCGCGUAGGCGGCCUACUAAGUCAGACGUGAAAUCCCCCGGCUUAACCUGGGAACUGCGUCUGAUACUGGAAGGCUUGAGUAUGGGAGAGGGAUGUAGAAUUCCAGGUGUAGCGGUGAAAUGCGUAGAUAUCUGGAGGAAUACCGGUGGCGAAGGCGGCAUCCUGGACCAUUACUGACGCUGAGGCGCGAAAGCGUGGGGGAGCAAACAGG
rnacentral:rRNA from 1 species